GGUGUUGGGAAGAUGGCUUAGCAGUUAAGAGGAAGCACUGGCUACUUUUCCAGAGAUCUAAGUCUGAUUCUUGGCACUGAUAUGAAGGCUGUUAGCCAACUGGAACUAGGAUUCUAGGAGUUCCAAUACCAAGUCUGGCCUUCACUUUACAUGUGCUCAGACAUCUAUAAAUACAGCCAAGAAUAAAAAGUAAACUGUUAAAAUCUAUUUACCAGGGGUUGGGGAUUUAGCUCAGUGGUAGAGCGCUUGCCUAGGAAGCGCAAGGCCCUGGGUUCGGUUCCCAGCUCCGAAAAAAAGAACCAAAAAAAAAAAAAACCAAAAAAAACCCAAUCUAUUUACCAGAGUUUACCUGCAGCAGAGGCCAUCUUGGUAAUAGAAAGCCAGUAAGUUAUGUCUGUUACCUCUGUGUAUUAGUACAUAUGUGUGUUCUCACCUAGAAGAACUCACUAAAGCCAGAAUUGGACAUCAGGUGCUGUCCUCAGUUUUUCCACUGUAAUUUUUUGAAACAGGAUCUUUCACUGAACUUGGGAGCUUGUCACUUUCAGAUAGACUUGUUAGAAUCAACCAGUUUCCACCCCUCUAUUGCUGGGGUCAGUCACACACACUGGCUAUCAUCUAGGUUCUUCAGAUCUAAACUCGUUUCCUACAUUCACUUGAGCAGAUUAUGAUCAAAAACCUCCAUUCCCCAAAGUCUCUUUGAGGCUUUAAAAUAUUUUCUCUAGUACCAGUUAUGAAACUAAACUGAUUACAUAAGUCAUGGUCAGCCUCCCAGUGACCAGGCUGUGCAUCUCGUUUUGAAAGGAUGAAGGCACUUAAACAACCAGCAUCUCUGCUGGAUGUUAGAACACUUUCAGUAUUCACCUAAAUAACUAUAUUGUAGUAAACAUCGGAAGUAAUUUUAGUGGAUUUGACUUAUAUAGAAAUAAGUGCAUAGCAUACACACAAAGGCAGCCAUUUAGGGACAUUAGUAUCCAUUGAUUGGUAUUAUUAUUUUAAUCCAUGGGUGGUCCUGGAACUAGUUCCCCUUAGAAUUGAGGAUGACUGGAUUGCACUGAAACUCAAAAAGCUGCCAGAUUACCUUUGACCUUCACGUUCUAGAGACUGAAACAAGACUUAAAAGUUCUGACUGAAGGCUAAGGCUACAUUGCAAGAACAGCUGAAAACAAAGUCAAAAGAGCCCUUUUAGGACUGCCAUUCCCGUUUAACAGAUAAAGCCCAGAUCAAGGACAGAGACAAGUUAUCUGAACGUAGGUUAUAGUUCCUACUUUAGAAAACUAAUAGGUAGCCAGGGAGGGUGCUCCUCUUAGACUCAGAAAUCAUGGAUGAUAGCUGUUUUUAGAUAAACAUAUUAAACUGGCCAGUCAACUUCCAGUGCUGGAUAUUUCACAACCUUGGUCGGUGUUGGUGGGGCAGGUGAGGUCAGGGCAUGUGUGUAAGUGUGCAUAAGUUAGCAAUAAACAAACCAAGGAUAGAAUACCAUACAAAACAAGGAGGAAGAUGGCGGAAUGGUGAGUAAAUCUUUAUUUUCUAGGACUAAUGAGUCAUUUUGAUUAUGUUGUUUAUAAGAGGAGUACAAAAAUACAGUCUUCGUUCUCAAACACAUUAUAUCCAUCUUUUUCUCAUACAGAUUUUUACAGUGUAUUUUAUAUAGCUCUUUCCCAAUUGUCUCUGUUCAUCUCCCUACCAAACCCUAGGAAUGGUGCUACUGUGGCAUCUUUUAUUCAGCCUGCGGAUGAUAGCAUACAGGAUGGUGCCCAGUAGCACCUUUCUACAUUUCUAGUUGGGAGUAUUAACUAGAGCGGUUUAUACCAAGAACCAAGUGAUUUCCUCACAGAAAUUAAAUUUUAGGAAGUCCAUUUUACUUCCUUUUUACCUUCAGUAAGUUUUAUAUCUCAAGAUUUCUUUCACAGUUUCAUAUAAAAAUAUAUAUAGUGCAUUGUUUCAACAUUUUUCUUAUGUCCCAAGAACUGAUAAAUUUAAGACUACCAUUCAAAGUCUUAGGCAAAGCAGUUCAUUGACCCUGUAGGACAGGAUAGAUCUAUGAGGUCUGUCAUAAUUUUUUGUUAAACAAACCACGCAAAGCAAAUAUAAAAAUAUUUAUUGAUUUUUAAAAAAUAAAUGUGUACUUUAACAACUUGGAGCAUCUGGUCCUGUCAUAAUUUCCUUUGCAGCUUU
rnacentral:lncRNA from 1 species